rnacentral:rRNA from 1 species
UACGGAGGGGGCUAGCGUUGUUCGGAAUUACUGGGCGUAAAGCGCACGUAGGCGGAUUUGUAAGUCAGGGGUGAAAUCCCGGGGCUCAACCUCGGAACUGCCUUUGAUACUGCGAAUCUUGAGUCCGAUAGAGGUGGGUGGAAUUCCUAGUGUAGAGGUGAAAUUCGUAGAUAUUAGGAAGAACACCGGUGGCGAAGGCGGCCCACUGGAUCGGUACUGACGCUGAGGUGCGAAAGCGUGGGGAGCAAACAGG